rnacentral:rRNA from 1 species
AUAUCAAUAAGCGGAGGAAAAGAAACCAACAGGGAUUGCCCCAGUAACGGCGAGUGAAGCGGCAAUAGCUCAAAUUUGAAAUCUGGCUCUUUCAGGGUCCGAGUUGUAAUUUGCAGAGGGCGCUUUGGAGUCGGCAGCAGCCUAAGUUCCUUGGAACAGGUCAUCAUAGAGGGUGAGAAUCCCGUAUGUGGCUGCUUGCCUUCGCCGUGUAAAGCCCCUUCGAUGAGUCGAGUUGUUUGGGAAUGCAGCUCUAAAUGGGAGGUAAAUUUCUUCUAAAGCUAAAUAUUGGCCAGAGACCGAUAGCGCACAAGUAGAGUGAUCGAAAGAUGAAAAGCACUUUGGAAAGAGAGUCAAAAAGCACGUGAAAUUGUUGAAAGGGAAGCGCUUGCAGCCAGACGUGCCCGUAGUUGCUCAUCUGGGGUUCUCCCCAGUGCACUCUUCUGUGGGCAGGCCAGCAUCAGUCCGGGCGGUUGGAGAAAGACCUGUGUCACGUAGCUCUCCUCGGGGAGUGUUAUAGGGCAGGUGGAAUGCAACCAGCCUGGACUGAGGUCCGCGCAUCUGCUAGGAUGCUGGCGUAAUGGCUGUAAGCGGCCCGUCUUGAAACACGGACCAAGGAGUCUAACAUCUAUGCGAGUGUUUGGGUGUCAAGCCCGAGCGCGUAAUGAAAGUGAACGGAGGUGGGAACCCCUCGGGGUGCACCAUCGACCGAUCCUGAUGUCUUCGGAUGGAUUUGAGUAAGAGCAUAGCUGUUGGGACCCGAAAGAUGGUGAACUAUGCCUGAAUAGGGUGAAGCCAGAGGAAACUCUGGUGGAGGCUCGCAGCGGUUCUGACGUGCAAAUCGAUCGUCAAAUUUGGGCAUAGGGGCGAAAGACUAAUCGAACUAUCUAGUAGCUGGUUCCUGCCGAAGUUUCCCUCAGGAUAGCAGUAACGUUUUCAGUUUUAUGAGGUAAAGCGAAUGAUUAGAGGCCUGGGGGUUGAAACAACCUUCACC